rnacentral:lncRNA from 1 species
GGUUUAUGGCGGGGAACGCAGGGUUUCAGCCUUAAGAAGUUUGUUUCCCCUGAUGGAAGAUAAAAAGAGCCUUGCUUCUUCUGAGGAAAGAGCUCUUAUCAAAGGAAAGGCUUCAUUAUUGGCUGCAGUUGAUUAUUAUGUUGGCAUGCACAGUGAUAUUUUUGUUUCCGCCUCCCCUGGAAAUAUGCACAAUGCAAUGGUAAUCAUUCAAAUCUUUUCAUUUUCUAGUUUCACUGUGCUUGCUAUACCUCCCUUUAGAAUCUACUCCAUUAGUUGUUAGUCAUUUCUUCCAAACGUGUUAAUAGUAGAUUUAAGUUAUAUACACUGAUAGAAUAUAGUUUAACUUGUGAUCACAGGUUAGUUACAAUUACCGGAUUACUCCCUCUCUGUUGUGCCUUAUGUGACAUUCUUUCCUUUUAGUUCUUUUUGGUCUGACAAGCUAAGAAUGACACCUUUCUAAUCAAUAAAAACAUUUUAAUCUUGAACAUGCCAAUUAAACCUUAAAGUCAUGGUUUUAUAGUCACAGAAAUGUAAUGACAUUUGAAUCACUAGCAUCAAAAGUCUGUCAUUCUUUCUGUCUACUCGAAGACUUCACGUAAAAUGGAACGUUCCACUCCAAGUGCAUCACAUUAAGUGAGACAGACGGCAAAGAGUUACCCUAAGUGAUUUGUUGAUGUUACGGUUCCUUGCAUGUAUGCUCUGCACUGCUUACCUAUUAGUUGUCUUUUUUUUUUUUCACUGUCGUUUUUCCUUUCUGUUACUACCUUGAUUUGCUUCACUCCACGAGGUAGGAGUAAGGUAAUGCAUACACUGGGGAUGUUGUUGAUUUUGGCCGAGUGAAUAGUUCUUACACGGUCAAUGCACAGAACACAGACGCCGCAUUAUUAGGCUGACUAAAUGUGGUCCACACAGCAAAUGAAUAAUACACCUACCUUGAAAUUGACAGGUCGGACAGAGAACAUACAACAAUAUGAAGACAAUAAGGCCAAAUAUGGCAUUGUUAGGCCAGCUUUUCUUGAACAAGACACUCACUUGGCCUGAGUUUCAAGAAUCAGUAAUUGAAGGGCACCAAAACAGACAAGGCCAAAUCAGACUCCGC